UACGUAGGGUGCAAGCGUUGUCCGGAAUUAUUGGGCGUAAAGAGCUCGUAGGCGGUUUGUCGCGUCUGCUGUGAAAACCUCAGGCUCAACCUGGGGCUUGCAGUGGGUACGGGCAGACUAGAGUGCGGUAGGGGUGACUGGAAUUCCUGGUGUAGCGGUGGAAUGCGCAGAUAUCAGGAAGAACACCAAUGGCGAAAGCAGCUUUCUGGGACGGUACUGACGCUGAGACGCGAAAGCGUGGGGAGCAAACAGG
rnacentral:rRNA from 1 species